CAAAUCUUUAACUCAGUCCUGUGAGACUGGCAAGAUUGUGAUAGAACGGGUUUUUAUGUAAAAAACUUCUUGCUAGUUGCAAGAAGUUUUUUAUU
rfam:Sporanaerobacter acetigenes DSM 13106 genome assembly, contig: EJ96DRAFT_scaffold00013.13